GUAGGGUCCGAGCGUUGUCCGGAAUUAUUGGGCGUAAAGGGCUCGUAGGCGGUUUGUCGCGUCGGGAGUGAAAACUCAGGGCUCAACCCUGAGCGGUGCGUUCCGAGUACGGGCAGACUAGAGGUAUGCAGGGGAGAACGGAAUUCCUGGUGUAGCGGUGGAAUGCGCAGAUAUCAGGAGGAACACCGGUGGCGAAGGCGGUUCUCUGGGCAUUACCUGACGCUGAGGAGCGAAAGCAUGGGGAGCGAACAGGAUUAGAUACCCUGGUAGUCCAUGCCGUAAACGUUGGGCGCUAGGUGUGGGGACCUUCCACGGUCUCCGUGCCGCAGCUAACGCAUUAAGCGCCCCGCCUGGGGAGUACGGCCGCAAGGCUA
rnacentral:rRNA from 1 species